rnacentral:pre_miRNA from 1 species
GGCUCAAAUUUGAAGUAGGGUAAAUCAGUAGUAUCAGCUGACCCUACUGAUCUGCUCUCUUCAAGUUUAGGCCC